UUGGAAGAAAGGAUGAGCUGCUCAUAC
rnacentral:piRNA from 1 species